rnacentral:rRNA from 1 species
UACGUAGGGCGCAAGCGUUGUUCGGAUUUACUGGGCGUAAAGGGCGCGUAGGCGGCCACCGCAAGUCGACUGUGAAAUCUCCGGGCUUAACUCGGAACGGGCAAGUGAUACUGCUGUGCUAGAGUGCGGAAGGGGCAACUGGAAUUCUUGGUGUAGCGGUGAAAUGCGUAGAUAUCAAGAGGAACACCUGCGGCGAAGGCGGGUUGCUGGGCCGACACUGACGCUGAGGCGCGAAAGCUAGGGGAGCGAACGGG